UGAGUAACCUGCCCUUCACUCUGGGAUAACUCCGGGAAACCGGGGCUAAUACUGGAUAUGACUCGAACAGGCAUCUGUUUCGGGUGGAAAGAUUUUAUUGGUGGAGGAUGGACUCGCGGCCUAUCAGCUUGUUGGUGAGGUAAUGGCUCACCAAGGCGACGACGGGUAGCCGGCCUGAGAGGGCGAUCGGCCACACGUGGGACUGAGACACGGCCCAGACUCCGUACGGGAGCA
rnacentral:rRNA from 1 species